rnacentral:rRNA from 1 species
GUUCCUACGGGAGGCAGCAGUGAGGAAUAUUGGUCAAUGGGCGGGAGCCUGAACCAGCCAAGUCGCGUGAGGGAAGACGGUCCUAUGGAUUGUAAACCUCUUUAGGCGGGGAGCAAUGCCGGGCACGCGUGUCCGGAGGGAGAGUACCCGCAGAAUAAGCAUCGGCUAACUCCGUGCCAGCAGCCGCGGUAAUACGGAGGAUGCGAGCGUUAUCCGGAUUUAUUGGGUUUAAAGGGGGCGUAGGCGGAUCGUUAAGUCAGUGGUCAAAUUGAGGGG